rnacentral:lncRNA from 1 species
GUCUUUUUAGGCAUCUGGAAGUUCUCAAGCUAGGGGUUGAAUCGGGGCUGCAGCUGCUGGCCUAUACUGCAGCCACAGCAGUGCCAGAUCUGAGCUGCGUCUGCGUCUACACCACAACUCAACACCAGAUCCUUAACCCACUGAGCAAGGCUAGGGAUUGAACCUGCAUCGUCAUGGAUACUAGUCAGGUUCUUUACUGCUGAGCCAUGAGGGGAACUCCCGCUCGAUACUUUUUUUUUUAUGGAAUAAAAGGUUGUGUAUUGCAAAGGGAUAAAUAAAAUGCUUAAAAAUUACACUUGUUAAUAAUGGGAUUAGUAAAUACACAACUUAAAAACAUACUAACAGGAGUUCCUGCUGUGGCACAGUGGUUUAAGGAUCCGACUGCAGCAGCUCAGGUCAUUGCAGAGGUGCAGGUUCAAUCCCCUCUGUUGCUGCAGCUGCAGCACAGGUCACAGCUGUGGCUUGAAUUCCAUAUGCUGUGGGUGCAGCCGCUAAAAUUUUUUUUAAAUCAUAAUAACAAAAUAAAAGGUUCUUAUUUAACUGGCCUCAAUAAAAGUGGCAUAUUCAAUAAAAAAAAGGAGUGAUAAUAUGGUUGAUGGAGCAGACUGACCUAGGAGAUUUGAAUGCCUUUUCUUUCCCUUCCCCACAAAUACAGCCCAACAGCAUCAGGCAGAGAUUCCUCCCAACAAAUGCUGCCCUUCCUAUCCCUCUCCCAGCUGGGCCUAUGAAUGUUCUGACAAGUCUGUCAAAGUGUCUUUUGCAGACAUGAGAGGCCUAGGAUGUCCGUCCUCCAUGCAGCACAAAAUACUUCACUUGAAGUUUGUUUUAAUCAAAAGAAGGGAGUAGAGUGUUGCAGCUAAUAAGCUUUAGAGCCGACACACUCUCAAUUCUGUCACUUAACUGUGUAACAUCAGGUAGAUUGCUUAAUCUGUCUGAACUCAUCACCCCUCAAGGUCGUCAAGAGGAUUACCUUAUACAAAGUACUUGGCGACCACUGAACCCCGUAAGUGAUAUACAUCAGUCAUCACUGCUCGUUUCCUUUUCUAGAUGUUUUUUUCCCAAAGUCAAUGAAGCAAACACUUACAAAUAUGCUAAAAUAAACAUAUAGCUUACAGAUUCAGUGCACUUACAAUUACUUAAUCACCAUAAUCUUCAUCAUAUCUCUGAAUACUGGGAAAGUUAACAGUGGAAAGGGUAGGACUGGGAGCCCCGGGGGACUGGAUUCUAGUCUUGGCUCUGCCUCUGUGUGACCUGUGUGAUCUUGAGCAAAUUAUUUAGCCCCUAGAGGCUCUAGAUUGCUUAUCUGCAAAAUGAAGGGAUUAAGAGAAUCCUUGACACUCCUGUACAAAUCUAUGAUUUUAACUUGGAUGAAGUAACAUAAUUGCCACUCUGCUCAGAUCUAACUAGUCAAACAUUUAUGAUAAAAUGUUUCACAUCCCCUCACUCCCCUCUAGCACUUAGGGAAGAAGCCAAAGCUAUGGCAAAGUGGGUGCCUCGAUCAUUUGGCCAAUUAGAAAGCUUUUGCUGAAGAACUCUUAUUAGCAAUAAGACUUUACACUUAAUAUGGCAGAAACAAAUACCUCCAAACAGGUAAUUCAAGUGUCCCUUGGAUUGGUGGGAAGACUUGGCCUCUGGUCCUUCUCAGGGUGACCUUUCACAAUACUUUUAUCAUCCAGACUAAACACGUCUCCUGACAAAUUAUCAGAUGAAUCCUUUCUUCACCAAUCUCAGUUACAACAUUUACAAAUUAAUGGUCCACUGGUAUAAAACAAUUUGGAUAUUAAAGUUUAAAUCCUGGAUGUAUUGGAAAAGAAAGUCUCCUCAUCUUUCUGUAUUCUCAUUUAAAGAGAAAAAUGCCUAUAUUUCAUUUCUAAGGUCUGGCCUGGGAACUUGCAUGAGCUCCGGUGAAAGAAAUGGUCUUCAUAAAAUCUUGGCAACUGUCAACAUAGCAACAAGGACCUACUGGACAGCAUAGGGAGCUAUAUUCAGUAUCUUGUAAUAACAAAAAUGGAGAGGAAUCUGGAAAAGGAUAUAUACACACAACUGAAUCACCUUGCUGUAUACCUGAAACUAACACAACUUUGUAAAUCGAUUAUACUUCAAUUAAAAAUUUUUUUUUGUCAACAGGAGACUGGAUUGAAUGUUUUUUGUUUUGUUUUGUUUGUCUUUUUUGUCUUUUUAGGGCGGCACCCACGGCAUAGGGAGGUUCCCAGGCUAGGGGUCGAACCAGAGCUGUAGCUGCUGGCCCAAGCCACAGCCACAACAGCAAUGCAGGAUCCAGCCACAUUUGCAACCUACACCACAGCUCAUGGCAAUGCCAGAUCCUUAACCCACGGAGCAAGGCCGGGGAUUGAAGCUGCAUCCUUAUGGAUACUAGUCAGGUUCCUUAACCACUGAGCCACGACUUUGACGGGAACUUCUGAAUGUUGUUUAAAUCUCAAAAUUCCUAAUGUUUACAGAAAUCCUACAUGAAUGUAAGAUCUCAUUAUUAAAUUGAAUCCCUUCUGCAAAACGGAAAAAUGUGCUAACACAAGCUAAGAUAAAACCAUAUUGGCCACUAUGAUUUCUCAUUGGCCAAAGAACUCAGUUGCUGAACUAUACAGAUUCUCUUUGCCAAUCUUGCCAAAACUGUAUUUUAUUCUCAGAGAUAAGUUGGUGAUAAAAAGCAAACAUUUGAUAAAAUCAGUAAUAAUUUAAAUCAAUACAUGUCUAACAAAUAACCAUGUAUUUGUUUAUAAAAAUAUAAGCAGCAAACAAUAAAACUUAUGGAUGCAAGUACAAUGUUCUUACCUUAUAUCUUCCCAAGCCACAGAUUUAAUCUAAUGCAACUGUCAUAGUUUAAAUAUUUCCCAUACACUUCUAUGUACCAUUUAAAAAAUAAUGUUUAGAAAUUAAUCUUUUCAAAAAUUAAAGUCCUUUUGCAACUAAUUUUUCUUAUUAUAAAGGGCAAUAAAUGCUCCUUGUAGAGAAUUUGGAAAAUGCAGAAAAGAAUAAAUAAGUUCGAAUCCCACCAUCCUGAGAUACUCAUCACUAAGAUUGGAAUGUAUUGUUCAGUCUUUCGUGUAAUGCCAUAUACAUUAGUGUAAGGCUGGAACCAGAAGUUAUUGGUAUUCACGCACACAUGUGUAAAGUUUGUCAUUUUUUUCACUUACACCUAUUUUAUUGUGACCAUUUUCUUGUUAGUAAAUAUUCUUCAAAAACAUCUUUGUAAGGUAGAUUGGAACAAUUUGGAUAAACAAAACAUGGACCCAUACUUGACUCUUUAAAUAGGGUUCUAGACUCUGGUUGUACACCACAAAUCAUUUGAAGAAAUCCAAAUACAGUAGCCAGACCUCACCCUCAGAAAUUCUAAGUGAAUUAGUCUGGGAUGGCAUCUAGACACAUAAAUUUUUCUUUAUGUAAUUCUAAUGCAUAGCCCUGGAAGAGAACUACUGUUUUACAUCCAGAUAACUUCCAAGGAGAUUAAAAAGUUGAUUGUAAAACAAAAGGAACCGUUGAAUUAGUGAAUAAAAAUAUAACUGUACAUAUCGUCUCAGGGAACUAAAGAACACUAAAGGCAGAAAUGGCAAAGGAAAAUACUCAUAUAUUUAACUACAUGAAAGCUUUAAAUUCCUGAAUGCCAAAAAAAAUCACAAACAAAACAGGAAAGCAAAUCACAAACCAGGAAAAAUACUUCCGAUAUACAUUGUAAGCAAAGCUCUCGAAAAGUAUAAAGGAAAAGAUGAAGAACUAAAUAGAAAAGGUCAGGUAUAGGUACAUCACCCAGAAAAAAAGAAAAGUCACUACAUGUAUGGAGAUAAAAAAAAAAAAAUUUCUUUUUUAAAUGAAAAAUAAGCCGAUCUUCACUCCAGAAUAUAUUCCUCCUGCUCUGAAUCCUCCCCUGCCACUCAUAACUCAGGGGCUAUUCAGUGGCGUUUACAUCUAUACCCUGCGGCUUUACCUCAUUAAAAAAAAACCAAACUCUGAGCAAAUACGUUAAAACUGAAAUAUGAAUACAUAAAGAGGAGAGUCACACCGCCACAUAAAGGUCUCAUCAAAUCAGAUGCAAAGGAACGUCACCCCGCUUUAUUACUGCCCGAGUCCAGCUCUGCACAGGUUCAACUGGCAAUAAAAGGAAGUCUUUUCAAUCUGCUGCGGUGACUUUCCCUUAUUAGAAUGCAUACUCAUUAUUUUCUGAUUACUCCUCGACAUAAAGCAUACCAUUUUGUACCUUGGUUUCCACACCCCUUGUACAGUAUUCAUAUUUUAUCUCUAAAGAUUGUAAUAAAUCACUUCAAACACAAUCGCCCAUUUAAGCAUGGAUUUUAUAGGCAAAAAGGCACACCUUUGGUGAUGUGAUCACAAUCCUCAGAUGUGCCAAUGCUCCUCAAGCACGUAUUAUGCGAUGUGUGCAUAAAUGAGGCAGCCUGGAAAGGAGAGGCGAUUACAGGCGGAAUGAGUCAACGUGACCCAAUGUGUACUUCCCGGUUUCAGGGUGUAUCCAUGGGAACCUUUUGAAAUGUUUUGUUUUUUAUUAAUUUGGCUCCUUUCUAUUUUUCACUAGUGCCAACACUUUCAAGAUAAUGCAGUUUAGACAUGUCACAGCUGUUGAAACUCAUAGCAUGAGCCUGAGCUGACAGAGGUGUAUCAUCAAGAACUAGAAACACCAAAACAACAUCAUGAUAAAGAGUUAGAAGUAUGGGAAAUAAGAAGACAAAGGGCAGGAAAUAUGGCCUUACCGUCUUAAAGCAGAGCCCUGGGGGAAAACAUCUGGUUUGGAGCAAAGCGAUUCUUUCAGCACAGGGAAGGGGUCCUUCUGGCUAGAGUGAGGAGUGGCCAGAUGAGAGAGAUGGGCUCCUGGAAGCUGAAGGGCAGGCAGGCAGUGAAAGGUUGCUUUCUGGAAAGGAAUUUAUAUUUUUAAAAAGGUAAGAGGUCUACAACCUCGAAAUCUAGAUAGAAGCCAUAACUUGUGAUUUUUUGCUCAUGUGCUUAAAACCUGACUUUACUACAUCUGGAAUGAUUUCCAUCUUGAUUCUCAAAUUAAGCUUAUGAACCACUCUAUAUGCUUUGAGGAACAAUCAAAGAUGGAAUAUACAGGGGCUUUUUUUUAAAGGACGGUCAGUUUGGAAAUACUAAACUUUAACACUUAUUGAAUGUUGUUUAUUUCUAAAGAAGCUGAUGUCUUUACAAGAGGAGCUAAAGAAUGUUUCAGUUUACUAAUGUGAUAUAGAACUUCAGUCAUAGAAAUGAGUGAAUCAGAGAAGAAACCACUUUCCACCUUAACACCCACCUUCCCCCGCCAAAAAAAAAAUCUUUUACAAACACUCUAACUUCUGGGUAAGUCUUACAAACUAAUCUUCUGAAAGAUCUAUAAGGCUCACAGGCUAGGCAAGAGAUUUAAAAGUUUAUUUUGUGUGGGUGGAUGCUGGAAUGUAGUGGUGUGUGAAUUAGAUAGAAUCUUGAAUAUAUUCCAAACACACCUACUUUCUGUUCUAACCACAUACGUAUGAU